UGGUACCCGGAGCGGGACUUGAACCCGCACAGCGCGAACGCCGAGGGAUUUUAAAUCCCUUGUGUCUACCGAUUCCACCAUCCGGGC
rnacentral:tRNA from 5 species